rnacentral:rRNA from 1 species
GAUGAACGCUAGCUACAGGCUUAACACAUGCAAGUCGAGGGGCAGCAUUUUAGUUUGCUUGCAAACUGAAGAUGGCGACCGGCGCACGGGUGAGUAACACGUAUCCAACCUGCCGAUAACUCCGGGAUAGCCUUUCGAAAGAAAGAUUAAUACCGGAUAGUAUACGAAUAUCGCAUGAUAUUUUUAUUAAAGAAUUUCGGUUAUCGAUGGGGAUGCGUUCCAUUAGUUUGUUGGCGGGGUAACGGCCCACCAAGACUACGAUGGAUAGGGGUUCUGAGAGGAAGGUCCCCCACAUUGGAACUGAGACACGGUCCAAACUCCUACGGGAGGCAGCAGUGAGGAAUAUUGGUCAAUGGGCGCGAGCCUGAACCAGCCAAGUAGCGUGAAGGAUGAAGGCUCUAUGGGUCGUAAACUUCUUUUAUAUGGGAAUAAAGUUUUCCACGUGUGGAAUUUUGUAUGUACCAUAUGAAUAAGGAUCGACUAACUCCGUGCCAGCAGCCGCGGUAAUACGGAGGAUCCGAGCGUUAUCCGGAUUUAUUGGGUUUAAAGGGAGCGUAGGUGGAUUGUUAAGUCAGUUGUGAAAGUUUGCGGCUCAACCGUAAAAUUGCAGUUGAAACUGGCAGUCUUGAGUACAGUAGAGGUGGGCGGAAUUCGUGGUGUAGCGGUGAAAUGCUUAGAUAUCACGAAGAACUCCGAUUGCGAAGGCAGCUCACUAGACUGUCACUGACACUGAUGCUCGAAAGUGUGGGUAUCAAACAGGAUUAGAUACCCUGGUAGUCCACACAGUAAACGAUGAAUACUCGCUGUUUGCGAUAUACAGUAAGCGGCCAAGCGAAAGCAUUAAGUAUUCCACCUGGGGAGUACGCCGGCAACGGUGAAACUCAAAGGAAUUGACGGGGGCCCGCACAAGCGGAGGAACAUGUGGUUUAAUUCGAUGAUACGCGAGGAACCUUACCCGGGCUUAAAUUGCAACAGAAUAUAUUGGAAACAGUAUAGCCGUAAGGCUGUUGUGAAGGUGCUGCAUGGUUGUCGUCAGCUCGUGCCGUGAGGUGUCGGCUUAAGUGCCAUAACGAGCGCAACCCUUAUCUUUAGUUACUAACAGGUUAUGCUGAGGACUCUAGAGAGACUGCCGUCGUAAGAUGUGAGGAAGGUGGGGAUGACGUCAAAUCAGCACGGCCCUUACGUCCGGGGCUACACACGUGUUACAAUGGGGGGUACAGAAGGCGGCUACCUGGUGACAGGAUGCUAAUCCCAAAAACCUCUCUCAGUUCGGAUCGAAGUCUGCAACCCGACUUCGUGAAGCUGGAUUCGCUAGUAAUCGCGCAUCAGCCAUGGCGCGGUGAAUACGUUCCCGGGCCU